GAUGAACGCUGGCGGCGUGCCUAAUACAUGCAAGUCGAGCGAAUGGAUUGAGAGCUUGCUCUUAUGAAGUUAGCGACGGACGGGUGAGUAACACGUGGGUAACCUGCCCAUAAGACUGGGAUAACUCCGGGAAACCGGGGCUAAUACCGGAUAACAUUUUGAACCGCAUGGUUCGAAAUUGAAAGGCGGCUUCGGCUGUCACUUAUGGAUGGACCCGCGUCGCAUUAGCUAGUUGGUGAGGUAACGGCUCACCAAGGCAACGAUGCGUAGCCGACCUGAGAGGUGAUCGGCCACACUGGGACUGAGACACGGCCCAGCCUCCUACGGGAGGCAGCAGUAGGGACUCUUCCGCAAUGGACAAAAGUCUGACGGAGCAACGCCGCGUGAGUGAUGAAGGCUUUCGGGUCGUAAAACUCUGUUGUUAGGGAAGAUCAAGUGCUAGUUGAAUAAGCUGGCACCUUGACGGUACCUAACCAGAAAGCCACGGCUAACUACGUGCCAGCAGCCGCCGUAA
rnacentral:rRNA from 1 species